AACGAACGCUGGCGGCAUGCCUAACACAUGCAAGUCGAACGAGACCUUCGGGUCUAGUGGCGCACGGGUGCGUAACGCGUGGGAACCUGCCCUUAGGUUCGGAAUAACUCCCCGAAAGGGGUGCUAAUACCGGAUAAUGUCUUCGGACCAAAGAUUUAUCGCCUUUGGAUGGGCCCGCGUUGGAUUAGCUAGUUGGUAGGGUAAAAGCCUACCAAGGCGACGAUCCAUAGCUGGUCUGAGAGGAUGAUCAGCCACACUGGGACUGAGACACGGCCCAGACUCCUACGGGAGGCAGCAGUGGGGAAUAUUGGACAAUGGGCGAAAGCCUGAUCCAGCAAUGCCGCGUGAGUGAUGAAGGCCUUAGGGUUGUAAAGCUCUUUUACCCGGGAUGAUAAUGACAGUACCGGGAGAAUAAGCUCCGGCGAACUCCGG
rnacentral:rRNA from 1 species